AUUGAACGCUGGCGGCAGGCUUAACACAUGCAAGUCGAGCGGGGGAGGUUGCUUCGGUAACUGACCUAGCGGCGGACGGGUGAGUAAUGCUUAGGAAUCUGCCUAUUAGUGGGGGACAGCAUCUCGAAAGGGAUGCUAAUACCGCAUACGUCCUACGGGAGAAAGCAGGGGACCUUCGGGCCUUGCGCUAAUAGAUGAGCCUAAGUCGGAUUAGCUAGUUGGUGGGGUAAAGGCCUACCAAGGCGACGAUCUGUAGCGGGUCUGAGAGGAUGAUCCGACACACUGGGACUGAGGCACGGCCCAGACUCCUACGGGAGGCAGCAGUGGGGAAUAUUGGACAAUGGGAGGAACCCUGAUCCAGCCAUGCCGCAUGUGUGAAGAAGGCGUUUUGGUUGUAAAGCACUUUAAGCGAGGAGGAGGCUACUGGUAUUAAUACUACCGGAUAGUGGACGUUACUCGCAGAAUAAGCACCGGCUAACUCUGUGCCAGCCGCCGCAGUAACAC
rnacentral:rRNA from 1 species